rnacentral:tRNA from 1 species
GCUUAAAUAGUUUAUUUAGAAUUGUAAUUUGUGGUGUUACAGGUGCGAUUAGCUUUAGGUU